GAAACGCGAUAUUUAAUGCGAAUUGCAGAAUUCAGUGAAUCAUCAAAACUUCGAACGCAGUUUGCAAUCAUUGGUUAGACCUUUGAUUGUGCCUUCUUGACACUCACCCAACACACAAAUUCAACAUUGUCUGUGACAAUAUCAGAUUUGUACUAACACAAAGGGUCAAGCAACCGUUUGCUCACCUUGUAAGAAUAUGCCGUCAAAUUUGGUAGAUGAGUCUUUUCAGAAUUCAACUGCAAUCUAAAUUUACAAGAGUUGAAAUCAAAAGAGACCUCAAAGUUUGUUUGAUUACCUCCUGUUGAUUUAGUUUAUUCAGGUUGAGAUUCAGACUCAAACCAAUUCACAGGCUUACAUAGCUAUGCAAAAUAUAAAUCUUUUGUGUGUCAAGUGAGGCACG
rnacentral:misc_RNA from 1 species